rnacentral:tRNA from 1 species
GGCUUCGGUAUAACCCGAAAAAGAAUA